AAGCCUCAUCCAGUCUGACAGAUGUCACAGGAGGGCGGGACUUGUCCUCUCAGUUUCACCCUCUGACUGUGUGUGAGAACUUGACCGAGCGAGUGUGAUGUCACUCAUGACUUACUCCUGGCUCCGACCAAAUGAAGGCAACUCAGUCACCAUUUUUUUUCCAAUACGGUCGUCGUAACCAUGUUGGAGCCUGACGUCCGAGUCGGUCUGAGUUGUCGUUUCUAUGGUAAACACGAACGCCAAUCAGGAGUGAGCUUGUUGGAAAGCCACACCCCUUCCACUUAAAGCAGUAAUGGAUGCUGUACUGGAUGUACACUGGUCCUCGGGACGCGUCCAGUACUGGUACCCUAACCUUAACCCGGUACUGGUUCAUUCUCGGUACCACGUUCGGCUUGUACAAGGUACCGCAUUUGG